UAACAAAAGCAGAAAAACUGGGAAAUAUAUGAAUAGUGUUAGCAUCAAGGCCAAUUACAUACUGCAGAUAGCAGGUGAAUGUUUGGAGAAGAGAUAUAGGUCACACUCAAAAUUGAAUAGCUUGUAGAAGAACUGACCUUGUACUGUAUAGUACUGACCUGAUGCCUGCUGGAUGGCAAAGGUUGGGGGAAAGGCAUGAGCUCCACCAUAAGGAGAGGCUGAGAUUAGGCCUGGAGCAGC